UAGAGUUUGAUCAUGGCUCAGAUUGAACGCUGGCGGCAGGCCUAACACAUGCAAGUCGAGCGGAAACGAUGGAAGCUUGCUUCCAGGCGUCGAGCGGCGGACGGGUGAGUAAUGCAUGGGAAUCUGCCCGAUAGUGGGGGAUAACCUGGGGAAACCCAGGCUAAUACCGCAUACGUCCUACGGGAGAAAGCAGGGGAUCUUCGGACCUUGCGCUAUCGGAUGAGCCCAUGUCGGAUUAGCUUGUUGGUGAGGUAAUGGCUCACCAAGGCGACGAUCCGUAGCUGGUCUGAGAGGAUGAUCAGCCACAUCGGGACUGAGACACGGCCCGAACUCCUACGGGAGGCAGCAGUGGGGAAUAUUGGACAAUGGGCGAAAGCCUGAUCCAGCCAUGCCGCGUGUGUGAAGAAGGCCCUCGGGUUGUAAAGCACUUUCAGUGGGGAAGAAAGCCUUGGGAUUAAUACUCCCGAGGAAGGACAUCACCCCCAGAAGAGACCG
rnacentral:rRNA from 1 species